rnacentral:rRNA from 1 species
ACGAAGUCUUCGGACUGAGUGGCGGACGGGUGAGUAACGCGUGAGAAUCUGCCUAGAGGUCGGGGACAACCAUUGGAAACGAUGGCUAAUACCGGAUAUGCCUUACGGGGUGAAAGAUUAAUUGCCUCUAGAAGAGCUCGCGUCUGAUUAGCUAGUUGGUGAGGUAAGAGCUCACCAAGGCAGCGAUCAGUAGCUGGUCUGAGAGGAUGACCAGCCACACUGGGACUGAGACACGGCCCAGACUCCUACGGGAGGCAGCAGUGGGGAAUUUUCCGCAAUGGGCGAAAGCCUGACGGAGCAAGACCGCGUGAGGGAGGAAGGCUCUUGGGUUGUAAACCUCUUUUGUCAGGGAAGAACAAAAUGACGGUACCUGACGAAUCAGCAUCGGCUAACUCCGUGCCAGCAGCCGCGGUAAUACGGAGGAUGCAAGCGUUAUCCGGAAUUAUUGGGCGUAAAGCGUCCGCAGGUGGCUGAUCAAGUCUGCGGUCAAAGACCGGGGCUUAACCCUGGAAAGGCCGUGGAAACUGAUAGAGCUAGAGUACCGUAGGGGUAGAGGGAAUUCCCGGUGUAGCGGUGAAAUGCGUAGAGAUCGGGAAGAACAUCGGUGGCGAAAGCGCUCUACUGGACGGUGACUGACACUCAGGGACGA